GGCCUGGUGGUCUAGUAGUAUGAUUCCUUCUUAGGGUCUUUCCAAACGGAAAGGUGAUUUGGAGGAGGUCCCGGGUUCAAUUCCCGGCCAGGCCC